rnacentral:tRNA from 1 species
GGGGCCUAUAGCUCAGCUGGUUAGAGCGCACGCCUGAUAAGCGUGGGGUGGGGGGUUCGGGCCCCUUGGCCCCC